CGCUGCACCCCUGCAUACUUCGCGGAUCGGUAUCGGUCUGCGGCCUGGAGGGUGGGGACCACUGUACUACCCCAGCCUCCGACGACUCAGCCUAACACACCAUCAUCAGUGUGCUCGGUGCUGUCUUCCUGAUUCUGGUAAGUGAAACGACACUGUACAUACAUUAUUUCCUCUUUAUAUAGGCUGUGUAUUUUUAUGUGUUAUUUGGUAUGAUUUGGCAGCUUCAUAGCUUAAAGGUUACUAGAGAGAGUGUUUCUGCCGAGAGCGCUUGCGUGAGAUUUUGGCUACGGAGAACAGUGCGGCAAUGAUUGUGGAAAAGUAUUUCUACUUUAUAUAGGCUGUGUAUUUAUCAUAUCAUUCCUGCUUUUACUAUAUGUUACUGUUAUUUUAGGUUUUAUGUGUUAUUUGGCAUGAUUUGGUAGGUUGUUUUUUUGGGUCUGCGAACGCUCACAAAUUUUUCCCAUAUAAAUAAAUGGUAAUUGCUUCUUCACUCUUUACCACAUUCCAGCUUAUGAACCAUUUCAUAGGAACACUCUACCUUCGGAUGGCGGGGGAAACCUGUAUUGUAGUCCUCUUCAAAUAAAUACUAACAUUACAUUUGUCUUCCUUACUGCUGACUCAGCCUGCAAGUUAACCUUUAGGGAAUUCUGCACAAGGACUCCCAAGUCCCUUUCUUAAUCUGAUUUAUGAUCUUUCUCCCCAUUUAGAAAAUAGCCUAUGCCUUUACUUUUUCUACUCAAAGUGACUAACCUUAUAUUUCCCUCCACUGUAUUCCAUCUGACACUUCUUUGCCCUUUCUCCCAAUCCAUCCAAAUCCUUGUUUAGACUCCCUGCUCCCUCAACACCUCUUGCCCCUCCACCUUUUUUAUUGUCUUCAAACUUGACUACAAAACCACUCAUUCCAUCAUCCAAAUCUUGACAAGUGACAUGAAAAGAAGUGGUCCCAAUACCAGCUCCUGCAGAAUACCACUUGACACUGUCAGGUAACCAGACUAGGCCUCCUUUAUUCCGAUUCUUAGCCUCCUGCCAAUCAGCCAAUCUUCUAUCCGUUAGUAUCUUUCCCUAUAAUAUCAUGGGAUCUUAUAAAGCUGCCUCAUGUGUGGCAACUUGUCAAAGGCCUGAAAAUCCAAGAAAACAACAUCCACUGACUCUCCUUUUUCUAUCCUCCUUGUUAUGUCCUCAAGAAGAAUUCCAACAAAUAUGUCAGGCAAGAUUUCCCCUUCAGGAAUGUGAAAUUUCAAAAUAAUCCAAAAUAUUUUUAAGAAUAACAUCUUUGCGCCUUUAAUCUUUGACUUUUAAGCCUCAUUGGAACUUUCAGAUCCGAGACAUUAUACUCGGGAAUUUCAGCAAGAUUAGGUUUUACUGCUAUAAUCUCAGCAGCAGGAUAGCUUUGUGAAUGAAGCAGAGCGAAAAAAAAAUUAAACAUUAAGAUGGUAGUUUUGUAUACUGUAUUUUUAAAAUGAUGUGUUGGUGUGUGUCUGUAAGAAUGGAAGAAAUGUCUGCUCUGGUUUCAAUUUGUUUUGGUUUUGAUUCCAUGAACUUUGACAGGAGAGAAAGUGAGUCACAAUGUAGGGAUAAAGAGAAAUUGAAAUUGGAGCACUUGGGCUAAGCAAGGGUAAAUAGUCCAUAAAAUGAUGUUAUUUCAGUUAAAACCUGUUAAUGAAGUUGCAAUUUAAGUUGUAGUUGCAUUUUAUGUUGCAGCUUUUACAUAUUACAGCUUUUUUUGUGUUGUAGCUUUAUAACAUUUAAACUGCAUCUACGUAGUCUGUGAUCUACAUUUUGGUGGUGUGUUAUCGAGCCAAUUGAGUGAAAUGGCGCUUCGCUGUCUCUGAGAGAGCUCUGGGAGAAUUCGAAUGAAAUGUGUGGCCUCAAGGCCAAGAAGACUGGAGAUAGGGCGCGAGUUCACAUUAUGCUGUGUUUCUUUUUCUGUUGCUAUUUUGGGUGACUUUGAGUCAGGGUGGCCUUCAGAUAAAGAACACUGAGCUGAACUGAAGUAUGUUUGGACUCUUUCGAUUUUGUGUUUUCUCACUUGUUUUUUUUUGUUGCCAGUUGCGUGUUUUUUUUCUGUGUGGGGGGAGGGAGAGUUUGCUGUUUCUCUUCAAUUGAAUUCAAGUUUAAUUGUCAUUUAACCAUAUAUACAUAGUCAAGUUCAGUUUAAAUCUUCAGUCACCACAGCUGCUCUACACUGCUCCUGGUAGAGUGCAAUGGUUCAGACGUCCCAGCAGCUUGAGACCUGAGUCCAUUGAGUGCCACUAAAAAAUCUUCAGUCAGCCACAACAGAGCUCCAUCGACUCAGGCAGCAGCACGUUCUGGAGCUCCUUUGUUAUCUUCACUAGUGAGCAACCUGCUGAUGGUGUAGACUUGCAGUCCUUCGAGUUCUUAAUGUAUAGAAGGAUUUUGAGUAGAACGGUAGCACCUUUGGUUGACCCCAUAGAAGCCGCUGCAACCAGUAGUGCCGCCACCUUGCCGAAAGAAAAAAAACAGCUUCCAUGGUUUUCUUUUAUUUGGUGGCUGUCUGUGGGGAAGACGAAGCUCAGGGUUGUAUACUGCAUUCAUAGUUUGAUAAUAAAUGUUCUUUGAAUCUGGAAUAUUGCAUUCACUUCUGGUCACCCCAUUAUAGGAAGGAUUUGGAGAGAGUGCAGAAGAGGUUGACCGGAAUGCUGCCUGGAUUAGUGGUGUGUGCUGAAAAAACAGGGUGGAUGGUCUUUGGUUGUUUUUUCCUCAGCGGCAGAAGCUAAGGGGAGAUCUGAUAGAAAUUUAUAUGAUUAUGAGAGACAUAGAUAAAUAGCCAGUAUCUUUUUCCCAGGGUUGAAAUGCCUAACACUGUGUGUGUGUGUGUGUGUGUGAGUGUGUGUGUGUGGCCUCCGUCGGUUGUGGUUGACCAUGGGUACUGCGCCUCUGGUAGUCACUGGGGAGUGGCCUCUCCAGGGCACAAGCCAGGGCAGAGUUGAUGUGGAGAUCCGUCUGUUGCCCAUGCAGUGGGACCCCCUUUCCAUGCUGAUGACAGGUCCAAAGGAACAACGAAAGUCAAUACAGUUUGGUGCCAGCAGCAUCGCAGGAGUUGCCGUGACGGUGCUGGGUACGGCAGUCAGCCGCCUUCGGGACUCCGACUCCGGAUUUUUCCUCGGGGUUUACUCUCAAAGCCUUUCCUGUGAGCGGGUAUAGCUUCAAGGCAGCGGAGGUUUGAAAUCGGGGUUUUUCCUCUCCUAGAUGAUCUACCAUCCGUGGUUAUGAGCCCCAUCUGCCCGGAGCAACUGGUUUUAAGGUGCCAGUGGCCCGCCUUUGCCCCUUCUCCUGUCAGUGAGAACAGCUCUGCUGGGCAUAAGAACUAUGCCACACGUGAAGGCCAGGAGUUGGACUUGGUUAUCAGAGGCUGUUUGAGAUGCAUGCCAUGAAGAGCAUUUGUUUAGCAGUGGGAGCUCGUCCCCACUACCACCCUUCGGCUGUGACUACCUUUGGAGCGUCUAUUAAAGGUGAGGGGGUUAAUUAGGUUCAAAGGAGAUGUGUAGGUCAAGUUUCUGUUCUUGUGUUGUACUGUCCUAUGUUCUAAUUAACUCACUUGUAUUUCUUUCCAUUUGGAAAAGAUAAUUUUAGUGGCUUAUAAAAGUAAGGAAGAACUUUUCAUUUCUAAUAUUGGUGAGGAGACAGAAAGUCAGCAAAAAAAACAUAUGACCAUUUCUUUUCUCAUUCUGGUUUGAUUUUUUUUAUAGAGUUGGAUUUUGAAAUUUUUUUUUUUAGCAAAAUUGACCGGAGAUGAAAAGAAAGAAAUGAAUUGAAGGCUCUGGUGCAACUAGAAGUAAGUUGUGAACUGAAGUUGACAAACCAACUAAGUUAGCCUUCUGUGGGCCAAUCAUGUUGUAGCCUCUAACUUCAUUCAUCUGAAGAUUGCACAUGAUAUUAACAUUGGUCUGCAAUUCCAACACAAAUAAUAUUGCAAAUAUGUUUUUCCUUUCAGCGCUUUCUGUUUCUAAAUAUCAUUAUGAACUUACACUCUACGUAUACCGCUGCUAAUAGGACAGUGUAAUGAAAUGGGGAAUGUAGUUGUCAAUAAGAAUUUGUAAUGAAAAAUAUGGUCAAAAUGUGUGACUUUCAAUUCGUACGCCUCGAUCCGGUUGGCUGUUGAGCAGCAUCUGUGGUGGUGGUGGGGGGAGAAGAAUAGUCAAUAUUUCAGGAGGAGUGAAAGGUAACUGGCAGGUGAGAGGAAAGGUGGAGGAGUUGAGCGACAGCAGCAGAAAGAUGAUAAGUGUGCCAGACAAGGAGAAAAUAAAAGGACGAGAAAGAUUGAGAACUAGAUGGAGAUGAGUGAGAGAAGGUAAGGGGAAGAUUGGAGACAGAUGCUGAAAAGUGAUAAGCAGGAACACAAAAUUCUAAUUCUGCUCUACUGACCACUACACAUAGUAUUGGUUGCCUAUCUGGAAUAGAAUGAGAGAAGUCUUUGUAUUAAAAUCUGUGUGUACCAAGUUCACUGCCUUCUGAAAAUGAAAGAUGCAAUGUGUGUGAUUUAACCUUCACUAAUUUUAUACUACCUGUUUAUUUUUAUGAGAGCAGCUGUUAAUGACCAUGUUGCACUGACCAUUUUGUUAAUUAGCUUGACACAUCAGCUUGGAGUCAAUUUUAUGAGUGAUGUUAUUCUGUUAGUUACUCUGCACCCACUAAAGAGGAGGCACACUGUAGCUGGUGGUUGUUGCUGUCUGCCUUUCUGCAAUCACCUGAGAAACAAAGAAGAAUGGCACAACACGGGAGAAGGACGAAGGUUUUCAGCUGCAGCAAACUGCAAAAUACAUUCUGUGUCAAUACAUAACCAGGAGGCCGUGCCGCUAUUUGUCAAGAAAGAGAAAGAUCUGGAAUAGAGCAUUUGAUGUUAACCCUGGGAGACAAGUCUCAAGGACCUGAAUGCAUUGCCACAAGGAGUUCAACUUCAUCACACUUGUCAAGGGCAAGGUGAUGUAUAACAAGAUGCAGAAGGAACAAACUAAAGCAGACAGGCAUGCCUGUAUGCCACAGUCAUCAUUAAAGGAGAGAAUACAGACCAUUAUUAGUGUGUCCAUUAUUUAGGCCUUGGCUCAAAGAUAAUGAUACCCAAGAUCAGGCCAAAUGAGAAGAUAAACUGCACUCAAGUUCCAAAUUGGAUUUGACAAUACACGUAAUUUUGAGUAUAGCAUAAGGCAGAAUCUGCAUAUGGUGAUAAAUCAGGUACUUAAUGACACUGCCAGGUCAUCGAUAAGGCUGACAAUACCAGCAAAACUCUCUUCACUAUCAGCCAGCGUGAAGGUGUCCAAUACAGAGCUUUGUACAAAGUUUAAAGCCUAUCCUUUCUGCAAGGAAAGGGAUGGCUAACUCUGGUCUGCAUGGACUGAACUGAACUGAAUGGUAGUGCAACCCCAGCUGUAAGAUUGGGCUUCAGCGCCCACCGCUGCCUGUAAGCAGUUUGUGCGUUCUCCCCAUGACCGCGUGGGUUUCCUCUGGGUGCUCCGGUUUCCUCUCACAUUCCAAAAACACACAGUUAUGAUUAAUGAGUUGUAGGCGUACUAUGUUAUCACUGGAAGCAUGACGAUACUUGCGGGCUCCUCAGCACAAUCCUUGCAGAUUUGAUCUGAUGUAAAUUAUGCAAUUCAUUGUAUAUUUCGAUGUACAUGUGACGAAUAAAGCUUAUCUAUAACACAGCGUCAGAAGGCCAACAUUCCAGCACCAGCAUUACAUACAAUCUUGCCUGAUUCCAGUGGUUUAGGCAGUUUCCCAGCUCAUUCCGCACCCGUGAAGUCCAUCUUCUGCCAUUUUGGUUGAGCAUUACUGUGCAAAGUAUAUCCUGGUGGUCCAGAAAUUAAUCGGGUUGCUUGGAUUACCAUGGUGCCACUCUGGGUAGAGAUGGAGCCCAGAAGUCUCACCUCUGUCUCUUGUCUGUGUCAUUGCUGUUGCCUUUCAGCCAAUUCAACCACCACUGUAUGGCCACAUAGUAUAUAUGCAGUUGGGUUCUCUUUAUCAAGAGCUGUUUGAAGUCAUUGUUCAAGGUCAUCUACAAGUCUCCCAAUAAGCGUCAUCCAUCAUUCACCAGCUGUGCUGGCUACUGGAGUGGUACUGUAAAAGAACAUUAGGACGUGCAAAGGCACACCAAAGACAUGGACAAAAAUAAAUUAUUUUUGUUGACAUUAUGACAUGAUUCCAUUCAUACAUUUGAUCUCUAUUUUGUAUUUUGUUCUUGCAUUUACUUUUGUGGCCAAGUAAAAUUGAUCAUUGUCAUAAAAAAGAUGUAGAGUUGUUGGUGAAUAAAGGUUGUUAUUAUCCUUUUUGCACAAAUUAGAUUUUUAUGGUCAAUCCAGGGAGAAAGGGGCCGCACGGGUCGCUCCCUUUUGUUUUUUCUUUGCCAUUAGCUGAUGGCAAGAUUGGCCCUCAAAAAAACAUCUUGCUCAGAACAAACCAUGCAGUGAAAGCUUCAGGUCUGCUUUUUUACAUUCAUUGCACACAUUUCCAGUAUGUUGCAGCGAUUGUGCACUGGUCAUCAGUUGUGUUGUAAGGAAACACCAUUUUUUCCCAGUGUUUCAUUUUCAUUUUUCCAUGUUUGUUCCAUCACAAUGGAUUGUUGUGGAAUGAAGAUAAUGUGAUUCACUGUCUGCCAGCGGGAUAUUGAGGAAAUGGAAUUCCUUGUGGUUUCUGUGUAGGUUAGUGUUGACAAGUGACUUCCUGAAACUAAUUUUGAUGGCACCCUGUGUGCAGUAAGGGAAAAGCCAUGGCAUUGCCACCCGUUUUGUCUGUCUGGAAAGGCAGAACAGAAUCCUGAAGAAAAUGGCGCCAGUGAACAAUGCAACGAAAGGCAACAUCCUUCAGACAGUUCACAGAAUUACUUAAUUUACUUCCUUUACUUCUUCUUUCAAAUAUGAUUCAGCUGUUAUUGGAACCUGUGGUCUACAGUUUGAUGGUGUAUUGAGCAAUCUGGCACUUUGUUAUCUCAGAGGGAGUUUGGUGAGGUUUCGAAUGAAGUGUGCGGCCUGGAGACCAUUUCUUUCCGAUCUUACCAAUUAAAGCACUGAGGAAAAUUGAAACCAAUGAGGGUGAGAGCAGAAGGCGAGCGGGUGUUCAGCACUGGAUGCUUGUGAGUGACCGGUCUCUCCCUUGCUGCUCCCAGAGGAAGGUGCCUGUAUUCAAUCGGCACCUCUCGCUCAUUCCUGCUGGAGAAUAGUGCCAGAGUCUCGAGUCUUGGGGAAGGUUCAGUUGACACAGUUUGUGGAUUGCGCAAUUUGUUGUUUUUCUUUGCAUGUUGGGGGUUUGAUACUUUGAACAGGUUCCAUGGUUUUCUUUGUUUCGUGGCUGUCUGUGGGAAGAUGAAUCUUUGGGUUGUAUACUGCAUACAUACUUUGAUAAUAAGUGUACUUUGAAUCCUUGAAGUAGUUCUUUCUGAAAAGAGAACCCCAGUGAUUAGUAUCCAAAUUUAAGCAGCAACACAGUAUAAGAUACUGCAACUAUCGUUAGCUUCAGAAUGGAAGGAGCCAGCCACAUAAAAGUUUAUUUCUGGCAUCACUAUUACAGAUACUGACAAUGUAGCCUCCAUACUUCUCUAAUCUUGUAUUGGUGGCUGCAGCAGAUGGCAGGUUUCAAUAAAAAUGUUUUAGUUAAAUUGCAAGCAUAAAACCAUUAGAUAUAGGAGCAGAAUUAGGCCAUUUGGUCCAUUGUGUCUGCUCCACCAUUUCAUCAUGGCCGAUCCAAUUUCUCUUUCAGCCCUAAUCUCCUGCCUUCUCCCCGUGUCCCAUUAUGCUCUGACUAAUCAAGAAUCUAUCAACUUUUAGCUGAAAUAUAUCCCAUGACUUGGCCUCCAUAUCCGUCUGUGGCAACAAAUUCCACAUAUCCACCACCCUGUUGCUAAAGAAAUAUCUGCUCACCUCUGUUCUAAAAGGACAUUCCUUUAUUCUGAGGCUGCGUCCUCUGGUCAUAGACUCCCUCACCAUAGGAAAUAUCCUCUCUAUGUCCACUCUUUUGAGGCCUUUCAACGUUCGAUAGUUUUCAAUGAGGUCACCCUUCAUUCUCCUGAAUUCCAGUGAGAACAGGUCCAGAGCCAUCAAACUGUCUUCAUAUGACAAGCCUUUCAAUCCUGGAAUCAUUUUCAAGAACUUCCUUUGAACCCUCUCCAAUGUCAGAACAUCCUUUCUUAGAUAAGGGGUCCACAACUGCUCACAAUACUCCAAGUGAGGCCUUACCAGUGUCUUACAAACCCUCAAUAUUACAUCUUUGCUUUUAUAUUCUAGCCCUUUUGAAAUGAAAGUUAACAUGGCAUUUACCUUCGUCACUACUGACUCAACCUGCAAAUUAACCUUUAGGGAAUUCCCAUGUCCAUUUGCAAACAUAUCAUACAUUAUUCUUUGUUCAGGUAUAGAUUGGAGAAUUACUGCCUGAGCACAGUUGAUUGAUGUAAUUUCCUGUUGAGAGUCCCUCUGACCGUCUCUCUCUUUCUGUCCUGUUUUAUAUGUGAUUUUAUUUUUUAACAUUGCUACAUUUUAUGGAGAAUGUCUGAAUGCAUUCUUGCCUGAAAACACACAAAAUGCUGCCUGGCCUGCUGCAUUCCACCAGCAUUUUGUGUGUGUUGCUUGAAUUUCCAGCAUCUGCAGAUUUCCUCGUGCUUGCCUGAAAACACUGUGUUUAUGUGGAACCUUGAGAAUUUGCCAUAUCAUUCCCAUUUGACAACUGAAGCAAUUAUAGAAAGCACAAACACAUGUAGAAGAAAUCAACUAGCAACAACCCUCUAAAUAGCUGUUAAUUCCUUUUUAAUAGGAAUAAUUAAAUGUUAUUCUUGAUGCUGAGAGUGUUGACUGAAGUGCUAAAUUUAAACCAGCAUUUAUGCUUCACAGUUAGCUAACUUUGCCCACCAGAAGCAUGCAUUCAUUGCAAACACAUUACGGCAUUCAUGCAUAUGGCAUCCAAAGUGGUUUGACGCUUUGGUUUACCAAAACUAUGGGGAAAUUUGAAAGCCGUAUGACUCCCUCAGUAGCACAUUGCUAUUUUUAUUGUAGAUCUUUGUGCUCUUAUUUCUAGAAACUUGAACCUUCUGGCUUGGGUAACUUAAAAACUUAUAUAAAUAGCACAUUUUUAAACAUGUUAAACUACUACCAGAGCUACAAAUGAAAUAUGAUAGUGGUAAAUAGCUUUUGUGGUACAUAUUUAUGUAGCUCAUUAGCAAUUAACAAAUCGCUCUCAGUAAUUGGGUCCAUCUGUGCCACCAGAUGGGAUUGCAAAAUAUCGAUAUCCCAUAGCACAUUUAGCAAUGCGAGUACGAUGCCUGGGUAAUGGUAGAUUUAAAAUAAUCACUGUAUAUUAGGUUUAUUUGUCAAAGUCAAUUUAUUAUCAAAAUAUGUAUAUGUCACCAUCUACUACCUUAUAUUAUAUACUUAAGAUGGCACCAAGCUGUGACCUCCGUUGAGGUUGUGGCUCAAUUUUAGCUGUUUUUUUGGGGGUGGGGAUGGUUUUUAGGGACAGGGAAGAGAGAAGUUAGGUUAAAGUUGUGGGGCAAAUAGAGGACUGCCCAGAGUCUUAAGUCUCCACUCCAUAUUUGAAAGCCAGCAACAAGGGCACAGGACAUCUGGAGGCUGGGCCAUGAUGUCCAGCCAGAAGCUGGACUGGCAUACCAGCAUGGAUGAAGGCUGUGUCACCUCCUCCCACCUCCACCCACUAUUGCCAGCAAGCUGUCAGUAGGUUUCCAGAGUCCAUACGAGCAGGAGAAACGAGGUGAAAUGUGUUUGAGAGUCACAUGUGGAACUUGGAGAUCAAGACCUAUUGACUGAAGCCCGGGGUCUACAAAUUUCCACAAAUCCUCUGGGGUAGUCGAAGGCCCAAUGUCUGCAUAUCUGAGUCUGCUGGAGGCUGGAGGCCAAAAAGAAACUCUGUCUUAGCGUUAGAGGACUGUGUACACCACGGGUGGGAGGAAGAGAUGUGGCUUAUUUUACUGUUGUUGUUUUACUGCUUGUUGUGUUCUGUUUAGUUGUGCUCAGUGUUGUUCCACCAAUCAUUGUGGGUAUGUUAUGUUGACACUGGAAUGUGACACUUGCGGGCUAACCCCCGCACACCCUCAGGUGUGUUGGUUGUUAAUGCAAACGAUGAACUUCACUGUAUGUUUCGACGUACACGUGAUAAAUAAACUUGCAUUUUAAAUCUUGAAUCUUGGGAUUCAAUUUCUUGCAGGCAUUUACAGGAAAAUAAAGAAGUACAAUAGAAUUUAUGAAAAAAACUGUACAUAAAUAAAGACUGACAAACAGCCAAUGUGCAAAAGAAGACAAAUUGUGCCAAAUUCAAAGUAAAAUUUAU